rnacentral:rRNA from 1 species
GACGAACGCUGGCGGCGUGCCUAAUACAUGCAAGUUGAGCGAUGAAGAUUGGUGCUUGCACCAAUUUGAAGAGCAGCGAACGGGUGAGUAACGCGUGGGGAAUCUGCCUUUGAGCGGGGGACAACAUUUGGAAACGAAUGCUAAUACCGCAUAACAACUUUAAACAUAAGUUUUAAGUUUGAAAGAUGCAAUUGCAUCACUCAAAGAUGAUCCCGCGUUGUAUUAGCUAGUUGGUGAGGUAAAGGCUCACCAAGGCGAUGAUACAUAGCCGACCUGAGAGGGUGAUCGGCCACAUUGGGACUGAGACACGGCCCAAACUCCUACGGGAGGCAGCAGUAGGGAAUCUUCGGCAAUGGACGAAAGUCUGACCGAGCAACGCCGCGUGAGUGAAGUAGGUUUUCGGAUCGUAAAACUCUGUUGGUAGAGAAGAACGUUGGUGAGAGUGGAAAGCUCAUCAAGUGACGGUAACUACCCAGAAAGGGACGGCUAACUACGUG